rnacentral:rRNA from 1 species
GUGGGCCAAUUUUGGUAAGCAGAACUGGCGAUGUGGGAUGAACUAAAAAGCCAGUGAAAGUGUCUAACAAGGAUUCUUCUGUAAAAAGAGGAAGAGAUUGUCACAAUUCAUGAGAAACCAUAAAAGGUAUUAAUUCAUAGAAACAGUAGGACGGUGGUCAUGGAAGUCGAAAUCCGCUAAGGAGUGUGUAAUAACUCACCUGCCGAAUGAAUUAGUCCUGAAAAUGGAUGACGCUGAAAUUGUGGACUUGGACUGGCUGUUGAGAACAAUCGACGGAUGAAUUGGUUUUCAUUUCAGAGAGGAUGUUCUCAACUGUAGAAAGAUGUGAUCAUAAUGUUGAAAUGUAAGAGUGAUUUUAUAUGAAAUUGUGAUUAGUACAGAUCUUGGUAGUAGUAGCAAAUAUUCAAGUGAGAGAAAGAAUCCAUUCUUUUUUGGAGUGGAUUCUGUGUGUAAAACUUGAAGACUGAAGUGGAGAAAGGUUCCAUAAAAACAGUAAUUGAAUAUGGGUGAGUCGAUCCUAAGUGAUAGGUUAAACACCAUCUGAAAGUGAAAGGAAGCGAAAGGGAAUCAGGUCAAAAUUCCUGAACAACGAUAGCUUUGCAUCGAGGCAACUCCAACCAACAAAUUUGUGAUUCAGAAAAAUAAAUAAAUAGUCUUUAAAGAGUUUUCUUUUCUUUUUAAUCUCUCUCAUUGUUGAAAUGAAACCUGGAAGUAAAUCAAUUAGAGAAGGGUUUUCAUGGAGAGUAAAGCAGUCUUCACAAAAGAUUGUAAAGAUGAAUUUAGUUUGUCAUAAAAAUCUGAAUCACCAACAGUUUGAAACAAAGAAGCUAUGGUUAUCGUACUCAUAACCGCAGCAGGUCUCCAAGGUUAAAAGCCUCUAGUCUGAUAAAACAAUGUAGGUAAGGGAAGUCGGCAAAAUAGAUUCGUAACUUUGGGAAAAGAAUUGGCUCUUUCGAUGUGAAGGAAGAGACUGUAAAAAGGUCUUGGAAAUCAAUGCAUCUAUGAAGAACUGAUACGAACAAGGGGAAUCCGACUGUUUAAUUAAAACAUAGCA